AGAAUCAUCUGAAAGUUCUUCCCUAACAAAACCCCUGUUUUCACCUCCUUUAAGCACCUACCUCUGCUGAACCUUGCAAUGUGUCAUUUCAGUUUCCAUGCCUUAGCCACUUAAUGGUCAGAGAAAAUGAGAAGACAUUAUUACUAACUUCUCUGGCCCUACAUACUGCCAUACCAAAUACUGUCAUCUUGCAUACUGGACAGACUGGGAAUUUCCUAUGGACUACUGUGUGACCAGCCUUGAGUUCAUUCGUGAAGUCUUUGAGUAAUGAGUAAUACAUUGGAAAAAAUGGACCAUGGUCUUCCUAAACUAGAAGCCAAACCUAAGUUCUCCAGUCUAUUCAAUAAAGGCAAAUUCCUCAGGAAAACGAAGGCUUUAGGAUCAUGAGGACCUGACAAAUGUUAUAUCUUUAAAUGGCUGGUAAACUGCCAAUCGAGUUAUGUUGAUUUCAACUGCUUUGUUUAAGUACCACAAUACUUACGUCACAAAAUACCUGAGUUUCCUCUGAGAGGAAGACGCUCUUCUGGAAACUACCAAAUACAUAAAGUUAGAGAAUCCUUUAAAGAACCUACAAUGUAACUGAGCACUAGAGCUACAGCUUGAGAAUCUGUCAUCUUUCUAUCUUUUAGCAAGCACAAAAUCCAUCUGGCUAAUGACUACUUAAGGAUUGUCCAGAAUGCAGAUAAAACCCCAAGAAUAAGGUGUUUCAGGCUGGCAGACAUUCUAUAAAUAAGAAAGUCCUCUUAUUAACUGGAGUUACCCAAGUUCAGACUCUGUGAUCAAGAAGGCAACCAAGCAAGGAGGUAGAAAAGACUCGGAUCUUCCAUCUCUCAUACUGAUAGGGAAAUGUGAUAAGUCCUUCAAACUCAUAUAUGGCUGACAGAAAAUUGUUAUGAUAAUAAUUUCAAUGAAGAAUAUUCAAAAUUCAGCAUGGGAUCCAGUGCAUAAAUAUGAGCUCAUGGAGAAUCCAGGGCAUCUCAGGGAGCCUGGCUGAGAAGACUGUGCAUGAGUCAACCACAAGGCAGUAAGGACAUGGAGAGUCCUGGGACCAGAGCUGUCAUUAACAAACACAGCAGAGCAGUUCAUUCAUUUAACUAACAUAUGCAAACUUUACUCCUGCAGUGUGUAGCCAUAAACCAGAGGGCAUACUCUUCUAGAAUAACUAUUACUGCAGACCCAAAGGCAAGGAAUGAAACCACUCAUGGACCAAAACCUUCAGAACUGUGAACCAAAAUAUGCUUUUCUUUGUGUCUCAUCCCUCACUUUAAUCAUAUGCAAGUCCAUUAUGCAUAGACGGAAGACGGAGGAUGGAAGUUGUCUAGGUGUGAACCAAAUACUGACCUCUCCCUCAAAGGUAUCUUCUUUGACAUGAGAAGACUGAACAGUCAGUCAAGGAUACUGAAAACUUAGGUUACUCCUGGCCUAGUACAGAGAUCUUAGCAGCCACCACCAACAGCUCCAGCUUCAAAAUAACACUCUGGUCUUAUCAGAUUGACUCCAACCACAUCCUCAUACAGAUGAAGGCCAGCUUCAUCUGUGUGCCACCUUUAAUGAUUUCCAAGAAUGGCUCAUCCUGACAGAAUAUUUUACUUAAAAAAAAAAUAAAUGAUCUCUCACCA
rnacentral:lncRNA from 1 species